GAACGCUAGCGGCAGGCUUAAUACAUGCAAGUCGUGGGGCAGCAUGAGUAGCAAUACUUGAUGGCGACCGGCAAACGGGUGAGGAACACGUACACAACCUUCCUUCAGCGGGGAAUAGCCCAGAGAAAUUUGGAUUAACUACCCAUAAUAUAUUUGAUAAGGCAUCUUAUUAAUAUUAAAGCUUCGGCACUUGAUGAUGGGUGUGCGGCUGAUUAGAUAGUUGGCGGGGUAACGGCCCACCAAGUCUACGAUCAGUAGCUGAUGUGAGAGCAUGAUCAGCCACACGGGCACUGAGACACGGGCCCGACUCCUACGGGAGGCAGCAGUAAGGAAUAUUGGACAAUGGACGAAAGUCUGAUCCAGCCAUGCCGCGUGAAGGAUUAAGGUCCUCUGGAUUGUAAACUUCUUUUAUAUGGGACGAAAAAAGGGCAUUCUUGUUCACUUGACGGUACCAUAUGAAUAAGCACCGGCUAACUCCGUG
rnacentral:rRNA from 1 species